UACGGAGGGAGCUAGCGUUGUUCGGAAUUACUGGGCAUAAAGCGCACGUAGGCGGCGACUCAAGUCAGAGGUGAAAGCCCGGGGCUCAACCCCGGAACUGCCUUUGAAACUAGGUUGCUAGAAUCCUGGAGAGGUGAGUGGAAUUCCGAGUGUAGAGGUGAAAUUCGUAGAUAUUCGGAAGAACACCAGUGGCGAAGGCGACUCACUGGACAGGUAUUGACGCUGAGGUGCGAAAGCGUGGGGAGCAAACAGG
rnacentral:rRNA from 1 species